rnacentral:rRNA from 1 species
AACGAACGCUGGCGGCAUGCCUAACACAUGCAAGUCGAACGAGACCUUCGGGUCUAGUGGCGCACGGGUGCGUAACGCGUUGGAACCUGCCCUUAGGUUCGGAAUAACUCCCCGAAAGGGGUGCUAAUACCGGAUAAUGGCUUCGGACCAAAGAUUUAUCGCCUUUGGAUGGGCCUGCGUUGGAUUAGCUAUUUGGUAGGGUAAAAGCCUACCAAGGCGACGAUCCAUAGCUGAUCUGAGAGGAAGAUCAGCCACACUGGGAAUGAGACACGGGCCAGACUCCUACCGGAGGCAGCAGUAGGGUAUAUUGGACCAUCGGCGAAGGUCAGAACCAGCAAUGCCGCGUGAGUGAUGAAGGGCUUAGGGUUGUAAAUCUCUUUUACCCGGGAUCAUAAUGACAGUACCGGGAGAAUAAGCACCGGCUAACUCCGUG